rfam:Ictidomys tridecemlineatus contig007156, whole genome shotgun sequence.
UGGGGUGUGGCUAAGCGGUAAAGCACUUGCCUCCCAUGUAUGAGGCACUGGGUUCAAUCCUCAGCACCACAU